rnacentral:rRNA from 1 species
GUAACACGUGGGCAAUCUGCCCUGCACUCUGGGACAAGCCCUGGAAACGGGGUCUAAUACCGGAUACUGACCCCUGGGGGCAUCUUCAGUGGUCGAAAGCUCCGGCGGUGCAGGAUGAGCCCGCGGCCUAUCAGCUUGUUGGUGAGGUUGGGCUCACCAAGGCAACAACGGGUAGCCGGCCUGAAAGGGCGACCGGCCACACUGGGACUGAGACACGGCCCAAACUCCUACGGGAGGCACCGUUGGGGAAUAUUGCACAAUGGGCGAAAGCCUGAUGCACCAACGCCGCUUGAGGGAUGACGGCCUUCGGGUUGUAAACCUCUUUCACCAGGAAAAAAGCGAAAGUGACGGUACCUGCGAAGAAAGCGCCGGCUAACUACUUGCCACCACCCGCGGUAAUACUUAGGGCGCGAGCGUUGUCCGGAAUUAUUGGGCGUAAGAGAGCUCGUAGGCGGCUUGUCACGUCGGUUGUGAAAGCCCGGGGCUUACCCCCGGUCUCUGCAUUCAUAUACGGCCAGGCUAGAGUUCGGUAGGGGAGAUCGAAAUUCCUGGUGUAGCGGUGAAAUGCGCAUAUAUCAGGAGGAACACCGUUGGCGAAGGCGAAUCUCUGGCCCGAUACUGACGCUGAGGAGCGAAAGCGUGGGGAGCGAACAGGAUUAUAUACCCUGUUAGUCCACGCCGUAACCGGUGGACAUUAGUGUGUGGGCAACAUUCCUCGCUGUCGGUGCCGCAGCUACCGCAUUAAGUGCCCCGCUUGGGGGUACGGCCGCAAGGCUAAACUCUCAAGGAUUGAACGGGGCCUUCACAGCCGUUGAACUGGUGCUUAAUUCAACGCACCGCGAAGACCUUAACAAGGCUUGACAUACACCGAAACGUCUGGAAACGGCCCCCCUUGGGUACGGUUACGGUGGGCAUGCUGUCCUCAGCUCGUGUCUGGAAUGUGGUAGUCCGAC